UGUGCUUAUUGCGCUGUUUAACAGGGACAUUGUAAACCAGAAGAAUAUCAUGAGCUAUCACACUGGCUCAGCCCAGGCUACCAUCGUGACCUGGGCUGAGUUUGUAGUUCACCAUAAUAUGCUUUAUGUGUCAGAUGCUGUGUGUCACCUGUCAAUCCAGGUAGUCUGGUCAGUGGUCCAAGAAACGGCCUUCCUGAUUGGAGCUCAUGUGGAGUGAAACCUGUACAGUGAACCCCUUUUUUUCGCCGGUGUUGCGUUCCGAAAAGAACCCAUGAUAGGCGAAAUCCAUGAAAGCUCUAACGGAAAUCUACCCUGGUCUGGCUUAACAGUUGGGCUGACGUUGAACUGUGAGUACAAAGUACAUGAUUUAAGAUGAUCUUUAACAUAUCUUUCAGAUAUGGAUGCUACCAAUGUUCCAAAUUCUUCAUCAUCUGAGCCACGCCCACAUGGCCCUAUCCAGGAACUCUUUAGGACGCAUUUCAGGGUCCCACUGAAAUUUAGGAACAGCUGUUAGGUCAGAACGCCAGCAGCAGCAUUCUGGAUCAGCUGCAGCUGUUUGAUUGAUUGCUAAUGGGGGCGCUGUGGCUCUGCAGUUUGGUGGAUGCUACCUGAGGACCACCAUGAACCCCAUACUGGACACCAUAUACUGACGGAACCGACUUUCUUCGGCUCCUCACACCAUGAGGCACCCCCCUUCACGCUCCCACUGGAUUGCUGCAGCACUAACAUCAAGCAGAGUGCUAUCUGGCUGUGUACACACCAACUGCUUCAACUCAAGAUGCAGGAAACUGUCCAACAGUCUCAGGAUUUAACAUACCAGCAGGUGAACACUGCUUCACUCUCUCCAUAAAACCCAUUAAUGUGAGGAGAACUCCUGAAGACUCUCUCCCUGUUGUUUUCUGGAAAAGAAGGCCUCUGGAAGAGCAACAUACAGCUCAGAAAAACCAUACAGUUCCUGUAAGAUCUCAAAUAUUUUAGUAGGGUCCUCCCUUCUAAAAUAAAUAUGUAGGAGAGACAUUAGGCAAUGUUGAAGAAAUGGACGGCUGAGCACUUGAGCUAGCCUAUCCUUGUCACAACUGAUCAUUGUCAGCUCUUAAGCUUGCUACCAGAUUUUUAAGUUCCUGAAUUUCUUCUUCCAUAAUUGUCACAAGCUUAUUCUGCUUCCUGUGAUUACUACAGUGCAAAACAUCCAACCUAAGACUAAACUGUUACCCCCUUAACUGGCAGUACCAAAUCACCAAAAAUGCCUGAAAAGGUAAACCCAAAUUAAAUCAUCUGCCGUUCUUGAAUAAUUUGGAGUUCAUGCAAAAGCCUGGUCUCUUUAUGAAGAUGACAAGCUACAUUUUCUAUUUCUGCAGUCAAAAACACUUUAAUUGUAAGUAGUUUGUAGCUAUUACGACUGUAACACAAAUGAAAUUAAAAAAUUUUGCUUCACCCAGAUUUUUCAUUUUUAUUUCUUGUAAAUGUACAUUGAGUGUUGAAUGUAUGGACUGGAAAAUACAAUAAAUCUGUAGAAUAAAGUAUUCUGCUUGUGGA